GGAGCUGGCCGGCAAGCUCCCAUCACUCUUUGACGACGUAAGGCUGCGUCCCCAUGCCUGCGUCCCUGUGACACCCCACUGUGGGCUCUCCCUGCCCGGUUCCCAGCCCUGGGCGCUGCGUGCCCUUGGGCAGACUUUCGGCAGGCCACAGCUUGCUCACUUUUGGGGGCCGUCCUCAAGGUGUGCCCUCUGCCUCUUGGCUCGGAGACUUUGCCCCCGCUUUGUCGGUCGUGCUGGCCCUGCUUGCGGAGGGCUUGGAGCCACCGGGACUGAUGUCCCCCUCUCCUCCUCCCCAGGAGUCAAGCGCAGUGCGGGUUCUCUCUAUUCGCCUCCUCCUCGACACGCUGGGCUUUGUGGAGGGCAGCGAAAAGAAGAAGAUGCAGAAGGAGGUGUGCAGGAGCCUUGUCCCGCUGUCCUUCCACCUGCACGACCAGGACGAGAGCGUGGCCGAGGUGGGCGUUUUGCUCCUCUGGGGAGGGCGACGCUGACUGCCUCGGGGGCCCCCGAGCACCAGGGGUGCUGCAGCUGCUGGCAGCGUCAGUCUCCACUGAGGCACCCUCCCUGCGGAGGGGCUGCGGGGGGGGGCAGGGUCUUCUGCCCAGGCUCUGGUGCCAUCUCAGCUGUUCUGCAGGCCUCCCGCGAAGCCCUCCUUGGUGUCGCGCGGUUCCUGCGCUGGAGGCAGCUGGCGCACCUGGCCGAGACGGUGCAGACGUGUAAGAUCGGCGAGUGCCUGCUGGCCAGGAGGAGGAGCGGAGCAGAGGAGUACCUGGGCCAGAGCCUGCCCUACCUGCAGAGCCUGCAGGAGCCCCUGCGGCGGGAGGCUGUGAGGUUCAUUGGGCUCGUGGGGAGGCACCUGGUGGAUCAGCGCGAGAACAAGAGCCAGUACAUCUGCGAAGGUGAGCCGGGGAGGGGGAUCGCAGGGCAGCCGCCAGGUGACGCGCCUGUCCCCUGCUCCCUCCUGGCUGGGCGGAGAGCUGGGGGCGACGUCUGCGGGGGGCCGGGCGCUCUGCGGGUACAGGGCCGUCAGCUCGCCUCUCCUUCUCUGUUCUCUCAGUCCUUCACGGCUUGAGGCAAGACCCCUGCGAGUCGGUCUCUUCGCUGGCACUUCAGACACUGCUGAUCCUGCAAGCAGCAAGGCCACGCUCGCGGUUCAGCUUUCGGCAGCUGUGCUCCAGGCUGCAGAAGGCGUGGAGGAGGCGACGCUCUUCCCCGGCAGGCAGCUGAGGGUGCUGGAAAGCUCCCGGCAUCUCCUCCUGCCUGCGGCGCAGCCCCGCUCCCCGGGCACACUCCCUCCACUUCUCCGUCCUUCUACGUGCUGGUGGCACGCCCGAACCAGCUCACGAACCCCAUGAACAACAGGGCUUCAGCCGUCGCCUCUCCAGCAGCGAGCCUGGUCUAAGACCCCCGCUCAGACCUGAGACCCCCGCUUAGGCCUGGGACACUGCCAGGGAUGGGACAGCCGCAGCUCCGCUGGGCCACCCGCCCCAGGGCCGCACCGCCCUCAGCGCGGAAAGUGUCCUCCUUGCUGAUGAAAGUGUCAUCAGAGCUGGCCAUCAGCAUCCUCAUCUACACGACGGCUGUGCCUCCCCAGCCCCGGGGGCACUGUGCAGCCCUCCCUGGAGCGGAGCUCUCCGCACACGCCCCACGCCUGGUGGCCUCGCUGCUUUUCCCUCUCUCUGUCCUUUCGCGUGGUCUUUCCCUUUUUUCUUUUUUUUUCUUCUUUUUCGUCCUUUUUUUCUUUUUUAUUUUUUUUCUUUUCCUUUUCCUUUUUAUUUUUUCCCCGCUCCCUUUUCCCUUUAAUUAAAUCAUCCUUAUCUCAAACCUCGAGCUCUUUGUGUCGUAUUUUCUCCCCCUUCCUCUUUGAGGAGGGGGAGUGAGAGAGCGGCCGUGGUGGAACUCGGCUGCCCGCCUGAGGAAAACCACCACAGUGUGACAGCAGGGGCGUGCUGGAGUGCUGCCUUUCUCCAUUUCACCAUGUGCCCGGAGGAAGGAUCUGCCCCCUCUGACUCUGGCCAGCAGCGAGCGUCCUUUUGGGAUGCUGCCAGGCUGCACGACG
ensembl:lncRNA